rnacentral:rRNA from 1 species
UACGUAGGGGGCAAGCGUUGUCCGGAUUUAUUGGGCAUAAAGAGCGUGUAGGCGGCUAGGUAGGUCCGUUGUGAAAACUCGAGGCUCAACCUCGAGACGCCGGUGGAAACCAUCUAGCUAGAGUCCGGAAGAGGAGAGUGGAAUUCCUGGUGUAGCGGUGAAAUGCGCAGAUAUCAGGAAGAACACCCGUGGCGAAGGCGGCUCUCUGGGACGUGACUGACGCUGAGACGCGAAAGCGUAGGGAGCGAACAGG